GUCUGAAUUACAUGCUUCAAACUCAAGUCAAAUCACUAUCAUUGAAUGUUAUUUUUAUUUAAAUUCACCAAUCGAAGAUAGUGCGUAAGGUUCACUUCACUAUACGAUAGCCAUUUACCAAGUCAUUAAUGAAUUCAAGUUAAUAAUGCUUUCAUGAAUAAAUUAACUGUAGAUAGUGGAUCAGUGGCCUAGAGAAUAUAUAUAUAUAGCUCUAAAUUAAACUGGUCGUGCAUGAUUAGCCGAGUAUAUGGACGCAACCGCACUGUAAAUUUCAAGGAGUUUGAUUACCUCUAAAAGUGUUGAAUCAACUCCAAAACGGUAACAAAAUCACUCUUUCAUAUUUGAUUCAACUCCAUAAAAUUUACAGUGCAUGCUCUAUACCUGCUCCAUAGCUCGUCCAUGAUUCACGUUUACUGAAAAUUAUCAAAACAGGACUAUAUUUGACCUUUUAACAGUAUAUAUUUUAACAAUUUGAAAUUCAUUUGUAAACGUGUACACAUUUCAAACUUUCAUUACAACUACAAACACGUUCUAUCGUUUAUAUAUACAAACUAAGUUUUUUGGUCCAUUUCGAAUUUCAUUUAUAUUAACUACUAACAUUAAGGGAUAUUAGAAUAUAUAUAAAAUAAUAUAUUGUUUGAGAGGCAUCAGAAUAUCAGAGGUGCAAGACGAAUGGGAAAGCAAACUUAGGAAAGUACAUUUAUUACGGGGGGGGGGGGGGGUGAUGAUGUCUUGAAAAAUGCACAUUUUUUUCAGGGCCACUGUUGAGGUUAUUGGAAAAUUUUCGAAGCCCCCCCUUUGAGUUUUUUUCAAUGCAACCCCCCCAAAAUUCGGAAUCGAAUGAAAUUGCCAACGUAUCACCUGGCAUCUGUUGCAAAUGCCUUUGCAUGCCUGUCAAAAUGCAUGCAAAAUCGCCAGUAUAUGCUUCAAUUUCUUUACUUUUUAUCCCGUUUGUACUAAAUAUCCCAUGAACACAGAACAUAUCAUUCUUACAAAUCGUAUGCUUUUUUUUUUGUUUCUGGAAGAGCAGACUAAGGAUAUCUUAAACUGACAUCGGUUUCGAAUACAACCAUCAGGGACGUAGGCAAAGCAUCUGACAUUUGGAGGAUGUCGGAGGAUUAUACGUGUAAUAAUUAACUUGAAUUUUACAUGAUUUUUGCCUGAAUUUCACAGUAGGGGGGGGACUUUACACCCUUCUCCCACAACCCCCAGUUGCUGCGUCCCUGACAACCAUUCCUUGCGAAGAUAUAAUGACUUAAAUUUCUAAAAAUCCGCCAUUUUGUUCUAUUUUUAUUAACAAUGUGGCCGAUUUUUCGACACUUGUAUCGCUAUAUCUUCCUAUAAAAUGGUUGUAUUUAGAAACAGAUUUCAGUUUAAUUCAGUAAAAUCACCAAUAGCUUAUUUUACUUUUUGGCACCAUGUUUGUGACAUAAUUUACCCGCCAAAAAGUAGCAAUUCCAAAAACAAAACAAAAAAGAUUUGUAAGAACGAAUGAAACAGAAUGAAAAUUUCAGAAGUUGAAGCAUAUUAGUGCUUUUGCAUGCAUUUAUGACAGGUGUGUUGCAGCCUUCUUUUCGUGUUGGAGCUCCCCCAAUGUCAGUUAAUAUAGUAUAGACAGUUUGGAAAUCAUUAGAAUAACAAUAUUUCUCAUUAUCUAUGUUAGUCAACGUUUAUUCAUAAAUAUAUUCUUUCACCGCAAUUUUCAAUUUAUCAUAUUGUUUGAGUCGUAGAUAGGCAACUUUCCUAAAACCGAUUGCUAUUGGUCAGUCGGGCAAAAAUACAAUACGUCUCACGUGACUGUAAAAGACCAGAUCUAUGAAUGUCAUUGUUCACUAACAUGGGUAAUGAGUUAUAUUGUUAUUCUAAUCAGUUUCCAAACCAUCUGUUCUAUUAACUAUGGUGGGAGUGAACACUCCAGGCCCCUGCUGGUAGUGCUGGACCAAAACGUUGAAAAGUUUAGAGCCCCCCUUCAGUAUAUCGAGAACUUUCAGA